rnacentral:lncRNA from 1 species
CCAUUUUGAACAAAAAAAAUUAAGUCAUGUCAUAUUAAGCUGAAAAGAUAAAGAUGAGAUGCAAUCUUGUCUCUCGACAUACAAAACAAUAAUUAAUAGUAAAGAGAAAGGUAGGAGAGAGUAGUCGAGGGGGCUAUCCACGGUUAUUUCACAACAAGAAGAGUAAAUCAUUGACUGCAUGGGAUUAUCUAUGAUUGCUUCCUGCGGCUUCCCAUGGUGACUCUUCCCCUCGUCUUUAUGAUAAAUCAUCUAGACAUCUUCAAGUCAUCCUUUUAGCUGCUCUUAUUUUGGCAAGUGAUUGCCUUAUUUUGCCGAAUUUAAGUGUUUAGCAAGCCAUGAGAAAGGCAAGAACACUUAAGAAAAACUUGAUAUCUGAUGGCGUGUUUUUUGUGUUUUUUUA